AGUGAACGCUGGCGGUAGGCCUAACACAUGCAAGUCGAACGGCAGCACAGUAAGAGCUUGCUCUUACGGGUGGCGAGUGGCGGACGGGUGAGGAAUACAUCGGAAUCUACUUUUUCGUGGGGGAUAACGUAGGGAAACUUACGCUAAUACCGCAUACGACCUACGGGUUAAAGCAGGGGAUCUUCGGACCUUGCGCGAUUGAAUGAGCCGAUGUCGGAUUAGCUAGUUGGCGGGGUAAAGGCCACCAAGGCGACGAUCCGUAGCUGGUCUGAGAGGAUGAUCAGCCACACUGGAACUGAGACACGGUCCAGACUCCUACGGGAGGCAGCAGUGGGGAAUAUUGGACAAUGGGCGCAAGCCUGAUCCAGCCAUACCGCGUGGGUGAAGAAGGCCUUCGGGUUGUAAAGCCCUUUUGUUGGGAAAGAAAAGCAGCAGGUUAAUACCCCGCUGUUCUGACGGUACCCAAAGAAUAAGCACCGGCUAACUUCGUG
rnacentral:rRNA from 1 species